CCUAAAUUUAUAGCAGCCCAUCCCAAUAAUCACACACAAUAAGAAAAAAAAAAAAAAGGGCGCGGGCGCAAGCAGAAAAAGGCAUAGAUGCCUAUGAAGAAGAAAAAAAAAGAGGAAGAAGCAACAGAAAAGGAAAAAAAGGUUUAAAAAAAAAAAAAGAAAACCCCAUCUCCUCUCUUGUAGCCACCUAUUCAAAGGAGAAGCAAGAAAAAAAAAGCGAAGAAGAGGAGAUCUGCAGACAAAGAGAGGAAGCUGUCAGUGGGUGUAGUAGAAAAGAUAGCAGAACUGGUGGAGGGAGCUAGACGCAGUUCUGGUGGAGGGAGCUAGACGCAGAAGUUUGUAGAAACUUGCAGAAGCAAAGUCGCGUGCGGCUGGAGAAGAAGCAGAACGCGGUGAGCUGAGCAAAAAGGCAAAACCAGAGAGCCAAGCAAAACGGAGAGAAGUUAAAAAAAAAAGAUUAUCAAGUAUUUUAUUUUUAAUUAGCAUAUUUUUGGC
rnacentral:lncRNA from 1 species